AUGCGUGUGUGUGUGUUGAGUCUUCUUUCCCUUGUGUGUGUUCUUGAGAAGAGAGAAACACAAGUGAGAGUUGUGAGAGGCAACUCGAGGAAGAAGAUGAAGUGCGGCGCUGCGGGAGGCGGCGCCAACAUCUUCUACGGUGGGUACAAGGCCAAGGAGUACCCUAACUACAAUUCCGCACGGAUGGCGGUCGCAGGUGGUCUCUACACCAACGACGCCACAACGGGAUUCAUUGCAGAAUCAGAAGGCUGGUUCCCCAAGAUCUGCGAUCUGAUUCAUGUCAAUCCUCAUAAAGAAGAUGUCUGGCGUUUCCUGGUUCAACUUGGUGGACAGGUGCUGAUCGUCGUCAGGCUGCGGGGGCGCGUCAAGGUUUUCAAGUACGACGACGCCGAGCCCGUGCCCGUCGAGAGCAUCGGCAGGCAUGCCAUCUUCGUCGGGCACCACAGGUGCCUCGCCGUGGACGCCGACAGGUUCCCGUCCGUCGAGGCAGACUGCGUCUACUACAUUGAUCGACGGGGUUUGUCAGCCCACAUCUGCGUGUACAGCCUCAGGGACGGGAAAGAGGAGAGGGUCUCUGCUGGGGCCGUCGAUUUCGUGAAGCCGCACAAGCUGUUCGUCCUCGUCGCCGACCGCCCUUUCACCGUCAUCCAGCUUCUCUGCAGCUACACCAUCAACGCCCGGGAUUCUCAGCUGCCUUUGAAAGAAGACGCUGGCAACGUUGACAAAAAAUGGUUUUAA
rnacentral:rRNA from 1 species